AAACUUUACAAUGCUGGCAACAGCGAUAAGGGAACCUCGAGUGCCAGGUUACAAAUCUGGCUGUCGAGAUGCCUAAAAAGCAUUUCAUAGCAAGGGCCGGGCAAGACCGGUGCCAGCCGCCGCGGUAACACCGGCGGCUCGAGUGGUAACCGUUAUUAUUGGGUCUAAAGGGUCUGUAGCCGGCCGGAUAAGUCUCUUGAGAAAUCUGGCAGCUUAACUGUCAGGCUUUCAGGAGAUACUGUCUGGCUCGAGGCCGGGAGAGGUGAGAGGUACUUCAGGGGUAGGGGUGAAAUCUUGUAAUCCUUGAAGGACCACCAGUGGCGAAGGCGUCUCACCAGAACGGACCUGACGGCAAGGGACGAAAGCUAGGGGCACGAACCGG
rnacentral:rRNA from 1 species